rnacentral:rRNA from 1 species
GAUGAACGCUGGCGGCGUGCCUAAUACAUGCAAGUCGAGCGAACGGACGAGAAGCUUGCUUUUCUGAUGUUAGCGGCGGACGGGUGAGUAACACGUGGAUAACCUACCUAUAAGACUGGGAUAACUUCGGGAAACCGGAGCUAAUACCGGAUAAUAUUUUGAACCGCAUGGUUCAAAAGUGAAAGACGGUCUUGCUGUCACUUAUAGAUGGAUCCGCGCUGCAUUAGCUAGUUGGUAAGGUAACGGCUUACCAAGGCAACGAUGCAUAGCCGACCUGAGAGGGUGAUCGGCCACACUGGAACUGAGACACGGUCCAGACUCCUACGGGAGGCAGCAGUAGGGAAUCUUCCGCAAUGGGCGAAAGCCUGACGGAGCAACGCCGCGUGAGUGAUGAAGGUCUUCGGAUCGUAAAACUCUGUUAUUAGGGAGGAACAUAUGUGUAAGUAACUGUGCACAUCCUGACGGUACCUAAUCAGAAAGCCACGGCUAACUACGUG